CUAUUUCGUGUUUAAUCCUCCCUGUCGCCACUUUCUGGCUUCCGCUGGAUUUCACCCCUUGCUUCCGUCCUAGUGUCAUUUUAAAGAUGUGGUAGGUGGUACACGGAUUGUAUUCACCCAAGCCUCUCGAGAGGAUACAUCCGAAGAAAACCAGGAGUUCAACGGUCGUCAACAACUUGACUAGGCCGGCAGAAGCGAUUUACAAGCUCCACGUGGGAACUGACAUUCUGAAUGUUGCCAAUCCCCUCGUUGACACGCAGCCAUUGAAAUCGUGUCGAGGUCAAACAUACCCACACAAUGCACAUAUGUGUCAAUAUAAAUCCAAACCAGUAGGGAGUGCUUGACACUCCUUGUGAGUGAACCAAUCUACUACGUUGCACGUGGAGCCUACAUCCUAGCAGGUACGUCAGUACCUCUCUCGCACGUGAAAUAUGUAAAAAGGACCGUGGAAGAGUUUUGAGCACAGAGAAAACACACUGAAUCGUAUUUAUGUAUAUAUGCGUAGCGGUACAAUUUCCCAACACAUGCAUGUUUAUGCAUAUUCAUCUGUACAUAUGCAGGCAAUGAAUACUGAGUCGGCGACGUGGAAGGUGUGGGCGAGCUUUUGAGGACUUGCACAUCGAAUCUGUUUUUUCUACCGCGCUGCAAUGCCUCUGCCCACUCCUGUUUUCCACCAUCCAGAUAUCCACAACCAGAUAUCCUAGCAAAAAAAAAAUUGCCUAGGGGAAGAGAAGCGUUCCGUUUGCGAUCCCUCCACAUUUUCUUCGCAAAAAGAGAUUUCCGCACACACACGAAUCCUGCACGCGUUCGAACUGCAUGUGGCGCAUCAGAAUCAUUUACAUUUUGACAGAGGGAAACCGACACAAUGGGGGAACACGCCGCGUUCUCUGCGUGUAUCGGCUGCGGCUUCCCUCGCCAUAUGACAAGACACCACGAGGGAAAGCGUUUCACGCCGCUUCUUCGGGGCACUUGCCGGCUCGUCUCGGUUUCACUUACUGCUCUCGGGAACCACCGGUUUCCUCUCUCGAGCAGCAGUGAACUGGAAUGACGCCCGCAUCCAGACGAGGUACAAUCUACAGAGACGAAAGAGAAACAGAAAAAAGCGAGACUCUCUUUCCACGCUGGUAAAUGCUAUUCGAGGCCACAGAAAUAUAUGCGUAUAUAUAUCCAUCUUCAAGUACAUACUCAUAUGCGCUAUGAUUCUGUAUAGGUAUGCCGACGCGUAGUCUUAUCUAUGCCUUUCUCCCUCGCCGAGGACAUGCGAGUGUACCGGAUACAAGUGCCGCUGUCCCUGCAUGUGUGUAUGAGGGUGAGAUCCGCUUGCCCUGUUGUGCACCCGGGGCUACGGGCGCAUGUAGCGUUUGAGGCAGGGUCAUAUGGUUGUUCUUUGAGUGACAUAUGACAAGGCACGAAGAAAGAACACUCGUGGACUUUUCCUGAUGGCAAAGUAAAAGCAAACGCACCUUAUGAGUCCUGCUCCAAGGACUUCGAAGACCAGGUUGGCAAACGACGAGGCUGGAGAGACGCAGACAACCGCCUCGACGAAACUCAUUGAUACAUAAAUGUCUUGUGUGUAUAUGUAGAAUGGUCGUGCCUCUACGCUGGCGUAUGGCCAUUUGACUUGCAUUAUUGAUACCCCUUUACUUGUGCUCUUGUCCCGAAUUUUCUUCCCGCUGCUCCGAGGAGGGCUGUGAGGAGAGAGAUAGAACAUGUGAAAAAAUCCUCCAUCACGUGUGAUCGAAAAAAAACACGGUCCAACCCUACACAGACCAAUAUAACUUUGUGUUACUUGUUUUGAAGUAAAUGGCAUAUAGAUGUGCUUUUACAUGGAGAUGAGUACGCAUAUAGAUGGACAUAGGAAACAUAGGUGUGCGUCGCUUACCAAAGCAGAACGUCGCAGAGCGCCUGCUCAGGAGCCAUCCCUCUUCGCAGACUGUGAUGCAGUUUCUUCCUGAAGACACAUGUAGCAGGAGCUCUACGAAACUCUCAAGUUGUACGCGUUCGGAC
rnacentral:lncRNA from 1 species